UAAGGAAUAUUGGUCAAUGGACGCAAGUCUGAACCAGCCAUGCCGCGUGAAGGAUGAAGGUCCUCUGGAUUGUAAACUUCUUUUAUCUGGGACGAAAACGGGAUUUUUAUCUCAAUUGACGGUACCAGAGGAAUAAGCACCGGCUAACUACGUGCCAGCAGCCGCGGUAAUACGGAGGGUGCGAGCGUUAUCCGGAUUUACUGGGUUUAAAGGGUGCGUAGGUGGGCUUAUAAGUCAGUGGUGAAAUCUCCGAGCUUAACUUGGAAACUGCCGUUGAUACUAUAGGUCUUGAAUUAUCUGGAGGUAAGCGGAAUAUGUCAUGUAGCGGUGAAAUGCUUAGAUAUGACAUAGAACACCAAUUGCGAAGGCAGCUUACUACAUAUAAAUUGACGCUGAGGCACGAAAGCGUGGGGAUCAGACA
rnacentral:rRNA from 1 species